UUGGAGGGCAAGUCUGGUGCCAGCAGCCGCGGUAAUUCCAGCUCCAAUAGCGUAUAUUAAAGUUGUUGCAGUUAAAAAGCUCGUAGUUGAAUUUCGGGAUCAAUAUUUCGGUCAUGCCGUUGGUAUGCACUGUUAUAAUUGAUUUCUCACCUUCUAAAGAACCGUAAUGCCAUUAAUUUGGUGUUACGGGGAAUUAGGACUGUUACCUUGAAAAAAUUAGAGUGUUUAAAGCAGGCUCACGCUUGAAUACAUUAGCAUGGAAUAAUGAAAUAGGACAUCCGAUUCUAUUUUGUUGGUUUCUAGGAUCGAUGUAAUGAUUAAUAGGGAUAGUUGGGGGCAUUAGUAUUCAAUUGUCAGAGGUGAAAUUCUUGGAUUUAUUGAAGACUAACUACUGCGAAAGCAUUUGCCAAGGAUGUUUUCAUUAAUCAAGAACGAAAGUUAGGGGAUCGAAGACGAUCAGAUACCGUCGUAGUCUUAACCAUAAACUAUGCCGACUAGGGAUCGGAUGAUGUUAAUUUUUUAAUGACUCAUUCGGCGCCUUACGGGAAAC
rnacentral:rRNA from 1 species